rnacentral:sRNA from 1 species
GGAUGUAAGGCAAUCUGACUGUGAUCUCGUCACCCCAUUGAUUGCCAGGGUUGAUUCAGUUGAUCUGGCUGGCUAGGCAGGUGUCCCCUUCCUUCCUUCCUUCUCUAUUUGCGUCCCUUCUGGAGCUGCAUGCUUGGUCGAAGAGGAUAACCAUCCCUGAUAGAGGAGGACCGUUCUUUGGUCAAGGGUAUAUGAGUAGCUGAGUUCCCCUGCUAGAACCUCCAAACAAGCUCUCAAGGAAUCCCUGCUCAGCCUCUGGGCCUCCCACAGUUCUCAAUCCCACACGGGGUGU